ACUGAAUAUGCCUCAAGCACCACAACCACAGCCUCAACCCCAACCACAACAUCCAGUUUCUCCUACAGUCACCAGAAAACCCAGAUCAUCAACACCUAAACCAUCAAAGUCUACAAAAUCUGAUGCCCCUUCUACUAAGAAGACCAGAACCUCUGUUGCUACACAAGUUCUGAAGACAAAGUCUGAUAAACCAGCAAACUCUGAUGCUGUAAACUCUGAUGCUGUAAACACUGAUCCUGUAAACUCUGAAGCUGCUUCUCCUCAAAAGCAGAAAAGAAGGAGACUGGUUGCAGCCUAUGAUUAUGAUGAUCUUGAACCUGCACAU
rnacentral:lncRNA from 1 species